rnacentral:rRNA from 1 species
GGAGUUUUCGGCAAUGGGGGAAACCCUGACCGAGCAACGCCGCGUGAGCGAUGACGGCCCUAUGGGUUGUAAAGCUCUGUUGUAAGGGACGAAUGGUGGGGUCAGGAAAUGGGCUCCAUUUGACGGUACCUUACCAGAAAGCCACGGCUAACUACGUGCCAGCAGCCGCGGUAAUACGUAGGUGGCAAGCGUUAUCCGGAAUUAUUGGGCGUAAAGAGUGAGCAGGCGGCAGUUUAAGUCUGAGGUUAAAGCGUGGGGCUCAACCCCAUACAGCCUUGGAAACUGAACAGCUAGAGUACGAGAGAAGUAAGCGGAAUUCCAUGUGUAGCGGUGAAAUGCGUAGAUAUAUGGAGGAACACCAGUGGCGAAGGCGGCUUACUAGCUCGAAACUGACGCUCAGUCACGAAAGCGUGGGUAGCAAAUA